rnacentral:rRNA from 1 species
CCUACGGGAGGCUGCAGUGAGGAAUAUUGGUCAAUGGACGAGAGUCUGAACCAGCCAAGUAGCGUGAAGGAUGACUGCCCUAUGGGUUGUAAACUUCUUUUAUAUGGGAAUAAAACGUUCCACGUGUGGGAUUUUGUAUGUACCAUAUGAAUAAGGAUCGGCUAACUCCGUGCCAGCAGCCGCGGUAAUACGGAGGUUCCGAGCGUUAUACGGAUUUAUUGGGUUUAAAGGGAGCGUAGGUGGAUUGUUAAGUCAGUUGUGAAAGUUUGCGGCUCAAACGUAAAAUUGCAGUUGAAACUGGCAGUCUUGAGUACAGUAGAGGUGGGCGGAAUUCGUGGUGUAGCGGUGAAAUGCUUAGAUAUCACGAAGAACUCCGAUUGCGAAGGCAGUUCACUGGACUGCAACUGACACUGAGGCUCGAAAGUGUGGGUAUCAAACAGGAUUAGAUACCCUUGUAGUC